GAAGCACAGCCCUUAUCCCGGACUGCAGCUCCCGGCAUGCACUGCUCACCCAGACAGUCUAACCCCCAAAGGGACUACAGCUCCCGGCAUGCAUCGCUCUCAGAGCGCCAGAUCUCCUAGGGGACUACAGCUCCCGGCAUGCAUCGCUCUCAGACCGCCAGAUCUCCUAGGGGACUACAGCUCCCGGCAUGCUUGGCUUCGCUUGGGCACUUCGAGUUGAGGGUUUUGGAUGGAUGGAGUGCAACCUUAACUGCCUCAAGAUGUAGUUUUUGUUUGGUAAUGGAAAUAAGUUGGUAUAAAUCACAGAAGUUUGAGAUGCAAAAGACCUGUUAGGUCAUGUACUCAUCCUCCUUAACCACUGCAGGAUUCUUCCCUAUGAGCUCUACUGAGAUGCACCAGCUUCUUCCAUCUCACUAGCAGAACUGGGGAAAUCUAUUUGCAUGCAGGGCCGGCUCCAGGCACCAGCAUCCCAAGCAGGUGCUUGGGGCG